rnacentral:misc_RNA from 1 species
AAACUGCGAUAAGUAGUGUGAAUUGCAUUUAGUGAAUCAUCGAAUCUUUGAACGCACCCUGCACUCACUGGUAUUCCGGUGAGUACGCCUGUUUCAGUAUCAUUGAAAACACACAAUCAAAACAUUUUCUUUGGUUUGAUUGGCUUUGGGUCUAUCAAAAAGUUUGGCUUGUUUCUUACAAGCCAAGCGGCCUGAAAUAUAUUGUCUGGCUAAUUGCAUCGUUGAUGAUCGCUAUUAGACUUUGGCUUUUUUAAAUGAACUGGAGGUUGAUUAACCAGUUUUAGCUGUAGUCAAAUGGUCAUUGUAAAAAAAAGCUCGAUCUUGGCUAGGUGUUUAUAGCCGAAAAUUUUUUUUUGGCUAUAACCGAAACCAAUAUAAUCACAUUUAGUUAUCGAUCUGAAAUCAGGUGGGACUACCCGCUGAACUUAAGC